rnacentral:lncRNA from 1 species
CCCCCGGGCACCUCAUGCCGUCUCCAGCUGCGGCCUCUUGCUGAUGCUUCUUAUCUUGAAGAGGUCUCUUCUCUGCAAGAGGAACAUCUGGGCUCUUCAUUGCAGCCACCAGAUGGGAGUGUCGGCACUUAUGACCUUCCCGAGGCCAGCUGCCCGCUCCGUGACUCCGCAGCUUACCACGACUACGCCGAGCUCCAGAGCUUCCAGAGCGACUUCAGC